rnacentral:rRNA from 1 species
AACGAACGCUGGCGGCGCGCCUAAUACAUGCAAGUCGAGCGAGAAGACGUAGCAAUACGUUUGUAAAGCGGCGAACGGGUGAGGAAUACAUGGGCAACCUACCCUCGAGUGGGGAAUAACUAGCCGAAAGGUUAGCUAAUACCGCGUACGCUCCUUGGACUUCGGUUCAGGGAGGAAAGCGAUACCGUGGGUAUCGCGCUCUUGGAUGGGCUCAUGUCCUAUCAGCUUGUUGGUGAGGUAACGGCUCACCAAGGCUUCGACGGGUAGCUGGUCUGAGAGGACGAUCAGCCACACUGGCACUGCGACACGGGCCAGACUCCUACGGGAGGCAGCAGUAAGGAAUAUUGCGCAAUGGGCGAAAGCCUGACGCAGCGACGCCGCGUGGGGGAGUGAAGGUCUUCGGGUU